UACGGAGGGUGCAAGCAUUAAUCGGAUUUAUUGGGCGUAAAGGGCGCGUAGGCGGGCGUACAAGUCAGAUGUGAAAUCCCGGGGCUCAACCCCGGAACUGCAUUUGAAACUGUACGUCUAGAGGGUAGGCGGAGAAAACGGAAUUCCACAAGUAGCGGUGAAAUGCGUAGAUAUGUGGAAGAACACCGGUGGCGAAGGCGGUUUUCUAGCUUAUUCCUGACGCUAAAGCGCGAAAGCAAGGGGAUCAAACAGG
rnacentral:rRNA from 1 species